rnacentral:tRNA from 1 species
CAAUUUAUAGCUUAACUAAAGCAUCUUGCUUACACCAAGAAAACACUCGUUAAACCCGGGUUAAAUUGA